CUUGGCCCAUUGGUUGACCAAGGGUUAACUAAUGUUUCUACACCAAGUGGUCUGGGGUUCGAGUCCCAGAUAUUAUGAUUUAUUAAUAAAUUUGCAGAUUAAAGGAGGCAAGUGUGCAUGAGAUCUCCAGCGAAGUACAAUUAUAGCCGUUCGCUAGGAUUCUACGCAGAGAGAGAAGUGUCGUUGGUCGUGGAUCAUUGAAGGUGUCCGUCAAGAGCAUGGAGAAGGAAGUGUCGUCUGUCGUGGAUCUAAUAAGGGUCGGAAGGAAUUGUCCGUUGUAGAAUCGUCUAUGUAACAGUUCUCAUAAUUUGCAAUAAAUAAUAAAUCUAGACGUCAAAAAAAACAAACAGUUAGAUGAAUUUUAUGUUCGUGUUCUUUUUUUU
rnacentral:lncRNA from 1 species